CCUACGGGUGGCAGCAGUGAGGAAUAUUGGUCAAUGGGCGAAAGCCUGAACCAGCCAAGUCGCGUGCAGGAUGAAGGAUCUAUGGUUUGUAAACUUCUUUUAUAUGGGAAUAAAGUGAGGAACGUGAUCCUUUUUUUAUGUACCAUAUGAAUAAGCAUCGGCUAAAUCCGUUCCAGCAGCCGCGGUAAUACGGAGGAUGCGAGCGUUAUCCGGAUUUAUUGGGUUUAAAGGGAGCGUAGGUGGUUUAUUAAGUCAGCUGUGAAAGUUUGUGGCUCAACCAUAAAAUUGCCGUUGAAACUGGUUGACUUGAGUAUACUUGAGGUAGGCGGAAUGCGUGGUGUAGCGGUGAAAUGCAUAGAGAUCACGCAGAACUCCGAUUGCGAAGGCAGCUUACUAAACUAUAACUGACACUGAGGCACGAAAGCGUGGGGAUCAAACAGGAUUAGAUACCCGGGUAGUC
rnacentral:rRNA from 1 species